GACGAACGCUGGCGGCGUGCCUAAUACAUGCAAGUAGAACGCACAGUUUAUACCGUAGCUUGCUACACCAUAAACUGUGAGUUGCGAACGGGUGAGUAACGCGUAGGUAACCUGCCUGGUAGCGGGGGAUAACUAUUGGAAACGAUAGCUAAUACCGCAUAAUAUUGAUUAUUGCAUGAUAAUUGAUUGAAAGAUGCUAUUGCAUCACUACCAGAUGGACCUGCGUUGUAUUAGCUAGUAGGUGAGGUAACGGCUCACCUAGGCGACGAUACAUAGCCGACCUGAGAGGGUGAUCGGCCACACUGGGACUGAGACACGGCUCAGACUCCUACGGGAGGCAGCAGUAGGGAAUCUUCGGCAAUGGACGAAAGUCUGACCGAGCAACGCCGCGUGAGUGAAGAAGGUUGUCGGAUCGUAAAGCUCUGUUGUAAGAGAAGAACGGGUGUGAGAGUGGAAAGUUCACACUGUGACGGUAUCUUACCAGAAAGGGACGGCUAACUACGUG
rnacentral:rRNA from 1 species